CGAGUUGUCAGGGAAAUUCACUUAAUUACGCUGCUGAGUGUCCGUUCAGCCUGCUCCAGUGGGAGGAUCCGAAGCAGACUCAGGCCACAAGCGUGAAAAGAACUGAUGCUGUUACGAAGUGCCCCCCAGGCUGGAACGUGAGCAGCGUCCUAACAGGUAUGCAGCUUGGCUUUCUGGAGAUUCUUGGAACAUAUAAAUCGCUGCAAUAAACAGCCCGGGCAGGCGGGCAUCUUACUGCCCGCCGUGGGUGGCGCGACAGCCUCUCCAGCGCUGGGGACUGCCCCGAGUCCGCAGGCGAGCCGGACUCCGGGGUGUGGCCGACUUUCCCUCUACUGUCAAGUGGGAUGGGGGCGGGGCCGCACGCGCUAUUUACACCAUUCCAAAAUCUGGAACCUGGGCACGCAGUUCUGGGUGAAAGCAAGUCUAAGCAAACGGUCGGGAAUCCCUCAAAACUGAUGGCUCAAAAAAAAUACUGAUGACUCAAAGCACUAUGUAUGGCUUGUUUCUUUUAUCUUUCUGGACUUUGAGAAAUUCCUUUAAUGAAAGAAAUCUAUUACUCUAAAAUAAGAACGCUCAAAACUAUAUAGGAAACAAAAGUGUCAGUGUUGCAUUCAAAUGACUACCCUUCACAUCAAAAACUAUUUUUGGAUGAAACACAGCAUAUUAUGCAAUUCUACAGUGUAAUUUUCUUUUUUAACGAGCAAUCUUCAAAAAGAGCUAGAGUUCGUCCUAGCUAUUUCAUCGACAAAGAAGCGAACACGAAGCUAUCUGGCGACCCCUGAUCACCCCAUUCCCAACCCAGUACCCCUGCAGUGUAAACGAUCGUUUACUUAAUCGUGCUCUCCCAAGACCCGCCGCACAGUGCCGCGUCCACCCAGCCCGUCCAGUGUCGAAGAGCUGCUGCAACCGCGAAGCCGAGCGACAAGUGCCCGUGAGGGGUUCCACGGCUAUCCGGUGCCCAGCUGGGCACCUCCGCACACACGACUUGAUUAGCGCUAAAGACCAACCGACUGAACACCUAUUUAGGGCCGGCCACAGUGCUUGGGGACACACCGGGAUGGGAAGCAGAGCCUACUUUGGAAGAGCUCCCAGUCAGUCGGGUGGAGGAGCAGUUCUGGAGGCUGGCAAGUCCAAGAUCAAGGUGCUGGGCAGUUUCAGCGUCUGGUGAGAACCUCCCUCCUGGUUCAUAGAUGGCUGUCUUUUUGCCACAUGGCAGAAGGGGCGAAGGAGCUCUCUGGGGUCUCUUUUAAAGGGCACUAAUCCCAUUCAUCAGGGCUCUGCCCUUAUGACCUCAUCACCUUCCAAAGAUCCCACUUUCAAAUAUCAUUACACUGGGGCCGGCCCCAUGGCCUAGUGGUUAGGUUCGCAUGCUGUGCUUCGGCGGCCCGGGGUUUCACUGGUCCAGAUCCUGGAUGCAGACGUGGCACCACUCGUCAGGCCAUGCUGAGGCAG